AGAGUUUGAUCCUGGCUCAGAUUGAACGCCCCCCGCAUGCUUUACACAUGCAAGUCGAGCGGCAGCGCGGGCUUCGGCCUGGCGGCGAGUGGCGAACGGGUGAGUAAUAUAUCGGAACGUACCCAGAAGUGGGGGAUAACGUAGCGAAAGUUACGCUAAUACCGCAUACGAUCUACGGAUGAAAGUGGGGGACCGCAAGGCCUCAUGCUUUUGGAGCGGCCGAUAUCUGAUUAGCUAGUUGGUGAGGUAAUGGCUCACCAAGGCGACGAUCAGUAGCUGGUCUGAGAGGACGACCAGCCACACUGGAACUGAGACACGGUCCAGACUCCUACGGGAGGCAGCAGUGGGGAAUUUUGGACAAUGGGCGCAAGCCUGAUCCAGCAAUGCCGCGUGAGUGAAGAAGGCCUUCGGGUUGUAAAGCUCUUUUGUCAGGGAAGAAACGGCCGAGGCUAAUAUCCUCGGCUAAUGACGUACCUG
rnacentral:rRNA from 1 species